rnacentral:rRNA from 1 species
UACGGAGGGGGCUAGCGUUGUUCGGAAUUACUGGGCGUAAAGCGCACGUAGGCGGAUAUUUAAGUCAGGGGUGAAAUCCCGGGGCUCAACCCCGGAACUGCCUUUGAUACUGGGUAUCUCGGAGGUCCGAGAGAGGUGAGUGGAAUUCCGAGUGUAGAGGUGAAAUUCGUAGAUAUUCGGAGGAACACCAGUGGCGAAGGCGGCUCACUGGCUCGGAUGACU